rnacentral:lncRNA from 1 species
UGGAGACGGGACAGAGUGCCCCCUGAGAGAAGGAAACACAGCACAGGAGGCAACGCCGAUGACGUCACCACCUCCGUGCUCGACCCUGAAGGGACGCAGGUGUCCGAGGACGAGGGCCGGGCGACCCCCCAGAGCACCUCAUCCUCGGAAACCUGGCAUUCCUCCUCCCCCGACUGCCCCCACGUGGACAGCUCUGGCUGUGGGGUUCCCUGCUCCCCUGGCCCUGCGGACCCAGGCAUCCGGGCGGGGCCGACCGAGCCCUGCGCCAGGCCGGAAUGCGAGAGGAUGCGACAGGAGCUGGAGGCGCUGAGGGACCGAUACGCCAAGCUGGAGGCUCAGAACACUGUGCUGUCCCAGAGACUCGGGGGCGACGUGGAGCUGCCCAGGGAGGUGGACGGCAGUUCCGUGCGGCCGGAGCCCGGGCUCUAUCAGGACCCUGCACUACCUCAGAAACAUGGGGUGAGCUGGGGGGCGGGGAGUGGGUCGGGGGAUAGUGGGAGGCCUGGGGUCCCUCUUAUAACAAUGUCUCCUCCCCCUCCUCCUUCCAUCCCCCUCCUGUCCCCUGCCUGCUCCCC